rnacentral:rRNA from 1 species
UAAUACGAGGGGCCCGAGCGUUAAUCAGAAUUACUGGGCUUAAAGCGUGCGCAGGCGGACCGUUAAGUACCUUGUGAAAUCCCUCGGCUCAACCGAGGAACUGCUUGGUAUACUGGCGGUCUUGAGCAUGGUAGAGGCGGUCGGAACGAUAGGUGGAGCGGUGAAAUGCGUAGAUAUCUAUCGGAACGCCAAAGGUGAAGACAGGCCGCUGGGCCAUUGCUGACGCUCAGGCACGAAAGCGUGGGUAGCGAACGGGAUUAGAUACCCCGGUAGUCCACGCCCUAAACGAUGUGCACUAGACUCGGGAGGUUCUGACACCGUCCGGGUCGAAGCAAAAGUGUUAAAUGCACCGCCUGGGGAGUACGGUCGCAAGGCUA